AGGAUGAACGCUGGCGGUCUGCUUAACACAUGCAAGUCGAACGGGCGUAGCAAUACGUUAGUGGCGGACGGGUGAGUAACGCGUGAGAAUCUACCCUCAGGACGGAGACAACAGUUGGAAACGACUGCUAACCCCCGAUGUACCGAAAGGGCAAAUAUUUAUAGCCUGAAGAAGAGCUCGCGUCCGAUUAGCUAGUUGGAGAGGUAAAAGCUCACCAAGGCGACGAUCGGUAGCUGGUCUGAGAGGACGAUCAGCCACACUGGGACUGAGACACGGCCCAGACUCCUACGGGAGGCAGCAGUGGGGAAUAUUGGACAAUGGGCGCAAGCCUGAUCCAGCAAUGCCGCGUGUGUGAAGAAGGCCUUCGGGUUGUAAAGCACUUUUAUCAGGAACGAAAUACUACGGGUUAAUAACCUGUGGGCUGACGGUACCUGAGGAUAAGCACCGGCUAACUCGUGCCAGCAGCCGC
rnacentral:rRNA from 1 species